GACACAACAACACUUAGGUACUCCUUUUCAGGAGAUCUCUCCCUCUCCUCCUUUGUUUUCAGCUGUUGUCUUUGCAUCCCUAUCGCUAGCACUGCGCACACAAUCCUAGCAAGAGCAGGCCUCCGAAACCCUACAUGCUGAAGGUCCUACACGGGAUAGUGAGCAAUCAGGUUUUUGGGAAGCGUCUCCACGCGACUGCUUGCUUGCUCCCUGAACGACUACGUCGUCUACAUCCCAAUGGCCUGU
rnacentral:lncRNA from 1 species